rnacentral:misc_RNA from 1 species
CCUCCUUACCAAAAUGUCGAUGGUGACAUUGUUAGUGUAGUGCCUACACAAAUUGUCUUGUUUAAAAGUUUAAAGAAGUGCCCUAGAGCGCUUAAGUUUGAUUGCAAAAUCAAACUUAAGUGCUUUCUUUGAAAGCAUUAUGUUCUUUAACAAUUUGGAAAGCUGAUAUUUAAUUAGUAAAUCAAUCAAAAUUUGAGUAAUUGAGAAGUCGAAAGACGUACUUACUACUCUACUUGACUUGAAUUGCUUGUUAUCAAUCUUAAUUUGAUAAGCAAGGCAAUUUCACGAUUAGCUUGUCAUGCAUUACAACUGGAGUUUAGAUCUCAUCCAAGUCCCUGGAUUUUCAAAAGGNGGGGAGAAGCUUUUUCCGCCUCAAACCAAUUGUUUUAAAUAUUCACUUUCCGGGUUGUGUUAUUUAAUGCCAAUUGGGGGCGUAAGGUUAAACAGUUUCCUUAGGUUCCUACCUAAAUUCCCACGAAAUUAAUGUGGAAAGGCCUACAGUUUCUUUUUUAAUUAAUGGUAACCCUGGAAA